AGAGUUUGAUCAUGGCUCAGAUUGAACGCUGGCGGCAGGCUUAACACAUGCAAGUCGAGCGGAAACGAAAGUAGCUUGCUACUAGGCGUCGAGCGGCGGACGGGUGAGUAAUGCUUAGGAAUCUACCGAGUAGUGGGGGAUAGCCAUUGGAAACGAUGAUUAAUACCGCAUAUAUCCUACGGGGGAAAGCAGGGGACCUUCGGGCCUUGCGCUAUUCGAUGAGCCUGAGUGAGAUUAGCUAGUUGGUGGGGUAAAGGCCUACCAAGGCGACGAUCUCUAGCUGGUCUGAGAGGAUGAUCAGCCACACUGGGACUGAGACACGGCCCAGACUCCUACGGGAGGCAGCAGUGGGGAAUAUUGCACAAUGGGCGAAAGCCUGAUGCAGCCAUGCCGCGUGUGUGAAGAAGGCCUUCGGGUUGUAAAGCACUUUCAGCGAGGAGGAAAGGUUAGUAGUUAAUAACUGCUAGCUGUGACGUUACUCGCAGAAGAAGCACCGGCUAAUUUAGUGCCAGCAGCCGCGGUAAUACUAAAGGUGCAAGCGUUAAUCGGAAUUACUGGGCGUAAAGCGCGCGUAGGUGGUUUGUCAAGUUGGAUGUGAAAGCCCAGGGCUCAACCUUGGAACAGCAUCCAAAACUGGCUCACUAGAGUACGAGAGAGGUUAGUGGAAUUUCCUGUGUAGCGGUGAAAUGCGUAGAGAUGGGAAGGAACACCAGUGGCGAAGGCGACUGACUGGCUCGAUACUGACACUGAGGUGCGAAAGCGUGGGGAGCAAACGGGAUUAGAUACCCCGGUAGUCCACGCCGUAAACG
rnacentral:rRNA from 1 species